rnacentral:rRNA from 1 species
GACGAACGCUGGCGGCGUGCUUAACACAUGCAAGUCGAACGGAAAGGCCCUGCUUUUGUGGGGUGCUCGAGUGGCGAACGGGUGAGUAACACGUGAGUAACCUGCCCUUGACUUUGGGAUAACUUCAGGAAACUGGGGCUCAUACCGGAUAGGAGCUCCUGCUGCAUGGUGGAGGUUGGAAAGUUUCGGCGGUUGGGGAUGGACUCGCGGCUUAUCGGCUUGUUGGUGGGGUAGUGGCUUACCAAGGCUUUGACGGGUAGCCGGCCUGAGAGGGUGACCGGCAACAUUGGGACGGAGAUACGGCCCAGACUCCUACGGGAGGCAGCAGUGGGGAAUAUGGCACAAUGGGGGGAAGCCUGAUGCAGCAACGCCGCGUGCGGGAUGACGGCUUUCGGGUGGUAAACCGCUUUCGCAGGUGACGAAGCGGUAGUGACGGUAAUGGGUAAAGAAGCACCGGCUAACUACGUG